rnacentral:sRNA from 1 species
UGAAAAGGACCAAGGUCGGCUAAAAGCGCAACGUCCUGUUGCAACGCCGACACUAGCACGUCCUGUGCG